UACGUAGGGGGCAAGCGUUGUCCGGAUUUAUUGGGCGUAAAGAGCGUGUAGGCGGUCAGGUAGGUCCGUUGUGAAACUCGAGGCUCAACCUCGAGACGCCGAUGGAAACCAUCUGACUAGAGUCCGGAAGAGGAGAGUGGAAUUCCUGGUGUAGCGGUGAAAUGCGCAGAUAUCAGGAAGAACACCCGUGGCUAAGGCGGCUCUCUAGUACGGUACUGACGCUGAGACGCGAAAGCGUGGGGAGCGAACAGG
rnacentral:rRNA from 1 species